rnacentral:tRNA from 1 species
GGGCGAUUAGCUCAGUUGGCUAGAGCGCCUCCCUUACAAGGAGGAAGUCAUCGGUUCAAGUCCGGUAUCGCCCA